CCUACGGGUGGCUGCAGUGGGGAAUUUUGGACAAUGGGCGAAAGCCUGAUCCAGCCAUGCCGCGUGAGGGAAGAAGGCCUUCGGGUUGUAAACCUCUUUCGGCCGGGACGAAAUCGCACGGAUUAAUACCCUGUGUGGAUGACGGUACCGGAAGAAGAAGCACCGGCUAACUACGUGCCAGCAGCCGCGGUAAUACGUAGGGUGCGAGCGUUAAUCGGAAUUACUGGGCGUAAAGCGUGCGCAGGCGGUCGUUUAAGCCAGAUGUGAAAUCCCCG
rnacentral:rRNA from 1 species